rnacentral:rRNA from 1 species
GUGUCAGCAGCCGCGGUAAGACAGAGGGUGCAAACGUUGUUCGGAAUUACUGGGCAUAAAGAGCACGUAGGUGGUCUGCUAAGUCGUGUGUGAAAUCCCCCGGCUCAACCGGGGAAUUGCGCUCGAUACUGGCAGGCUCGAGGUGGGUAGGGGUGAGCGGAACUCCAGGUGGAGCGGUGAAAUGCGUAGAUAUCUGGAGGAACACCGGUGGCGAAAGCGGCUCACUGGACCCAAUCUGACACUGAGGUGCGAAAGCUAGGGUAGCAAACGGGAUUAGAUACCCCCGUAGUCC